UGCAUGUGAUGCCAUUCUCUCAUGAUGGUCUUCUGAGUCUCACCUUGAAGGGGCUUUGAUGACAAUGCUGCACGGCUUUGCUGAUGCCCAGUG
ensembl:snoRNA